rnacentral:snRNA from 1 species
AUCACUUCUCAGCCUUUUGGCUAAGAUCAAGUGAAAAUUAUACCACACUUCAAUAAAGUUGAUUUAAAGAGAUGAAUUGAGUGACACUUUCUCUUCUCUGAAACUUACAUAAGAUAGAGAUUACCAUUUUUCAAAAGUUACUGGAU